AUCCAAUUGACCCUAAUCGACCUAGGGUCGACUCGACUGCGCCGCGUCUUCUUCCUCGCGAUAGCGCCGCCCCUCCUCCCUCACGACAGCACCGCCCCGCCGGCCACCGCCUCUCGCUGCUAGCUGCUCCUCCUACGCAGCCACAUCUCAUCAUCCCAUCCACCAAAACGGAGAGCCACUGUCAAGAGCUACCUCCACGAUGGAGUCAUCGCCCCCGCCUCUCGAUCCCGGAUCCCAUUGUCAGCAAGAGCGAAGCUUCCCUGGAGCGGUCUCGAUGGCCGAACCUUCGUCACCAGUAUUGGCUCUAGACCAUUCAACCCCGACUCCAUCACCUUGCCGCCACUUGGAUCUCACCCCUCUCCCAUCGCAUGGUGAUCCAUGACAGAUAAUAUUGUGGCCAUAUUUUUCCCUACAUGAUGUGAUUUGGAUGAUGCUAAAUGCAUGGAGAAAGUCUCUAAGGCCAGUCUCAAUAGGAGUUUCAUGGAGGAUUUCAUAACAUUAAAUAUCACCACUUUUGCUGACAUGGCAAGGAGAGAGAAGGAUGGAGUUUCGUGGGAUGUGAUGAGAGUUUCAUCAUCAUCUGGUACGGUUACCUAGUUCUCAGUCUAGGUAACUGUGUCCAUGAAACUCCCACUGAGACUGGCCUUAGAGGCUUUCUCCAAGCAUUUAGAGUUUAGACAUAUAUUGGAUCAUCAAUCUAAAGAUGUAUCUGUAAAAGAGUUUAGAGUGUGUGAUAAAGUUACAUUCUCUGAUUUUUUAGCUGUCCCUGUACUUAUUAUGCAAUUUAUGCAGAUCGAAUUGAAUGUCAAGGAUAGUAACUUAUAAAUUUUUUACUAUCUCUUUUUCAGUAA